rnacentral:tRNA from 1 species
GGGGAUAUAGCUCAGUGGGUAAGUUACAAUUUCUGUAGAUGGAGAUACAGUUAUGCUAACCCUAUUUAGUAGAGCGCCUGCUUUGCAUGCAGGAGGUCUGGGGUUCGAUACCCCAUAUCUCCA